rnacentral:lncRNA from 1 species
AUUAUUUGCACUUUGUCAAAUGGGGUCAUCUGAUAUAUCAAAUUGAAGGUCUUAAUAAACUCUACUUAAAAAUGAAAAUUUUAAACCCCCUUUUCAUCCCAGGGGGACGGGUGGGGUCAUUUAGUGCAAACAUUCAAAUUUCUCAGAUGGUAAGGUUGUUGCAUAUCAAAUUUCAAAUUGACGUUCCCAUAAAUUGGUUGGAUGGGGUCAUUGAGUGCAAAAAAUAUUUUUUUCUUUUACUAUAGGGUUGUUGUAUAUCAAAUGAAAGGUCAUGAUGUGUACAUUUGAAAUAUCAAAUUCCCAACCUCCAAAAAAUGGUUGGAUGGGGUUAUUAAGUGCAAAAAUCAAACUUUUUAGCACAUGGCGUUAUCGCAUAUCAAAUGAAAGCUCAUCUACCCUGUGCUACAUAUAUCAUACUUCCGAUCUCAAAAAUGUAGGCGGAUGAGGUCAUUAAGUGUAAAAAUCAAAAAAGUUUCAGAAGGUAUGCUUGUCAUAUAUCAAACGAAAGGUCGUACAAAGAACAUUACGAAAACAUCACUUUUACAGGAAAGACCUUUCAAUUGUUUUACAAACAAUUGAGAUACUAGUUUUUUCUUUUUUUUCUUCCAGCAUUUGUUUGGCUCGCCCUCCUACCGCUUUUAUUGGAGUUAUCAAUACCAAAAUUAAACCAUCGAUAGAGCUCAACAUGAACUUUUACCAGAUGAACUUUUUUAGGAUUUCUCCUUUCCCCUUAAGAAGUUAUCUCCCUUUUAUUGAUUUUUUUCAACAUGGUCCCCCCAAAAUGUGUUAAAAGAUAUCAUGACUUUAUUUGGACAAUAGGUAGAUCUCAUCAUGAUGUAUUACCAUAUGAGGCUGCAUAGGAUUUCAUCAUCUACUUUGAGAGUUAUAUCCCCUUGAAGCAAUUUCUUUUAUUUGCAUUUUUUUCAAAAAGUAUUAGAGAUAGAAUUUAAUUGAAAAUGACAGCAUGUAUUAGAACAGAUGGCAAUGUUUAUAAACAUAAACAAUUAAUUUGUUAUUAACCCUUAUAAGGAGUUAUUUCCCUUUAGAAAUAAAAAAAUAUUUUUUCAAAAAUUUAUAUUCGAGAACAGGAAGUCAUAGAGACUUGUAACCUUCACCAAUAAUCUUAAAUUCAUAUGACCUUUAAUAUGCACCCAAGGUCAAAGGUCACUGAGUGCAAAAAAAAAAUUACGCUGCAAUUUCAAGCUUACAUAUUAGGAAAACGAUAAGACUUUGCUGCAUAUAUACAGCGUAUAAAAUGUUCUUCUCGACGAGCUCUACAUUUUAUACAAUAAGCCCACAAAUGUCCAACCGUCUGUUUAAAAGUUACAACGGGAUGAUUCUUAAAAGUAUAGUAUUGUGUGUAUAUCUUUUUAAAUGUAACAGAUAUCAACCUACUAUAAAGUGCAAAGAUGAUCAGUAAUUCAAUACCUUCAAUUUGAGGUCAAUGUCAGGUCAUGAUGAAAUUUCACCUUGACCUUCACAGUAUACAAUGACCUUGACCUUGUGAUAGUUGAAAGGUUAAGUGGUCCUGAGUUGAAUAGUGCUAGUCCCAUGUCUCUACGACUUCCGGUUCUUAAGUUUAGUAUUGCAUCAUAUAUUUGAUGAUUAAUUUUGACCUUGGUGAACUUUGAAAUUGUCCCAAUUCUUUUUAUAUAAUGUUGUCCUUCAACUGUAGAUCAUUUAUCAUUUAACAGAUUUGAGAUAUCUAUUGUCGUUUUAGAGAUAAUGCAGUUUGAAGUUUUGCGAGCGGAGGCAUGUAUUUCUGAAUCAACAAGAGCUAACCACUUAAAAUGUUUUAGAAAUUGAAAAAGUUAAUAUAGUUAUAUGUUUGCCCAAAUACCAAAAACAUUCCAUGGAAAAUAACGCCAAAAAUUCAAUUUGAAAUUUUCAAGUUUUGCAUUGACUUUGUAAGUUUCAUAACGUCUAUUUAUAUAGUUGAUAUUGCAUCAUUAUUUGCACUUUGUCAAAUGGGGUCAUCUGAUAUAUCAAAUUGAAGGUCUUAAUAAACUCUACUUAAAAAUGAAAAUUUUAAACCCCCUUUUCAUCCCAGGGGGAAGGGUGGGGUCAUUUAGUGCAAACAUUCAAAUUUCUCAGAUGGUAAGGUUGUCGCAUAUCAAAUGAAAGAACAUAAAGCGUACAUUUCAAAUUUCAAAUUGACGUCCCCCAAAAAUUGGUUUGAAGGGGUCAUUGAGUGCAAAAAAUAAAUUUUCUUUUUACUAUAGGGUUGUUGUAUAUCAAAUGAAAGGUCAUGAUGUAUACAUUUGAAAUAUCAAAUUCCUGACCUCCAAAAAUUUGUAAGAUAGGGUUAUUAAGUGCAAAAAUCAAACUUUCUAGAACAUGGCGUUGUCGUAUAUCAAAUGAAAGCUCAUCUACUCUAUGUUACAUGUAUCAUACUUCCGAUCUCAAAAAUGUAGGCGAAUGAGGUCAUUAAGUGUAAAAAGCGAAAAGUUUCAGAAGGUAUGCUUGUCGUAUAUCAAACGAAAGGUCGUACAAAGAACAUCACGAAAACAUCACUUUUACAGGAA